CGUUUGUCUGUGGGCAAUUUGAAACCUGUGAUUCGAUCGUUCCGUGGUACCGUGGUUCAGUCAGUUCAAUGACAGUUUGCCAUUCCGAUUUAAUAAUAAUAAUAUAAUAUUAUAAUUUUAUUUACACUUCCAAGGGCACAGGUGGUGGUGUGCGAGGCUGAACAGUUAGGUGAGAUCCUACGCGGAGCGCAUGUCAGUCGUGAUGGGCAGCGUACCAGACGGCAUCUCGUACGAGGUAUUUCAAGAAUUCAAGAGGGCCGAGUUUCAGCUAAAGCUUUCCCGGACACGCUACCUGGAGGCAAAGAUUCUGAGGGAAGCCUGGACAGAAAUCUGCCUUCCGGACUACAAAAUGGAGGGAGCAUCGUCAGAGGAACAGGAAGAGGAGUUCCAUCGAGAGUUUCGGCGCCUGCGAGAUGCUGUUCUGCUCACGGAGCAGCCACUGCCGGGUUUGGCUCCCCCUCCGAGCCGUCCCCCAAGCAAU